rnacentral:rRNA from 1 species
CCUCGGAUCAGGUAGGAAUACCCGCUGAACUUAAGCAUAUCAAUAAGCGGAGGAAAAGAAACCAACAGGGAUUGCCUCAGUAACGGCGAGUGAAGCGGCAACAGCUCAAAUUUGAAAUCUGGCCUUCGGGUCCGAGUUGUAAUUUGUAGAGGAUGCUUUUGGUGCGGUACCUUACGAGUUCCCUGGAACGGGACGCCUUAGAGGGUGAGAGCCCCGUACGUUUGAAUACCUAUCCUCUGUAAAGCUCCUUCGACGAGUCGAGUAGUUUGGGAAUGCUGCUCUAAAUGGGAGGUAAAUUUCUUCUAAAGCUAAAUAUUGGCCAGAGACCGAUAGCGCACAAGUAGAGUGAUCGAAAGAUGAAAAGCACUUUGAAAAGAGGGUUAAAUAGCACGUGAAAUUGUUGAAAGGGAAGGAUACAUGACCAGACUUUUUCUCGGGGGAUCAUCUAGUGUUCUCACUGGUGCACUUCCCCGGGUUUAGGCCAGCAUCGGUUUUCGAAGGGGGAUAAAAGCGGUAGGAAUGUGGCUCUCUCCGGGGAGUGUUAUAGCCUGCCGUAUAAUACCUUUUUGGGGACCGAGGUUCGCGCAUCUGCAAGGAUGCUGGCGUAAUGGUCAUCUAUCACCCGUCUUGAAACACGGACCAAGGAGUCGAACAUUUGUGCAAGUAUUUGGGUGUUAAACCCUCAUGCGUAAUGAAAGUGAACGUAGGUGAGAGCCUUAGGGUGCAUCAUCGACCGAUCCUGAUGUCUUCGGAUGGAUUUGAGUAAGAGCAUAACUGUUCGGACCCGAAAGAUGGUGAACUAUGCGUGGAUAGGGUGAAGCCAGAGGAAACUCUGGUGGAGGCUCGCAGCGGUUCUGACGUGCAAAUCGAUCGUCAAAUCUGCGCAUGGGGGCGAAAGACUAAUCGAACCAUUAACACCAGUAUUACUAGGUGGUUAAGAGGUGGCCCGCAAGGGCUGAAAACCUAGGUUGAGCCAAGUUACCCUGUAGCGAGGCGAAAUACCGACACUGCUAAAUUGCGGGGACCUCCUUAGAGGUCGCAGGCUACCGCGGCGCGCUGAAAAGCGUGGCCGCACCGAGGAUAAUGCCCUCGGGUAUGGUAAUAACGCCUGCGACUUGGAAAACCUGCAGCCAACCCCUGAAAAGGGGAGAGUUCACAGACUAAACAGCAGUGGGUCGGCUACCCUGUAGCCGGCUUAAGACAUAGUCGAGUGUGGCCCCGAAAGGGAGCCUACUAUUAUCAACUAAUAGCGACAG